AAAGGAUGUGGGAGCGCACAGACAACCAGGAGGUUGGCUUAGAAGCAGCCAUCCUUUAAAGAAAGCGUAAUAGCUCACUGGUCAAGCGAGCCUGCGCCGAAAAUACAACGGGGCUCAAGCUCAGUACCGAAGCCACGGGUUCUCGAGAGAGAGCGGUAGGGGAGCAUUGGCAGGGGAGAUACACGCCGGACGGAGACGACCGGUAACGGCCCUGCGAAGAGCUUAUGCAGGCAUGAGUAGCGAUAAACCGAGCGAGAAACUCGGUCGCCGUAAGCCCAAGGUUUCCUGGGGAAGGAUAAUCCUCCCAUGGGUUAGUCGGAUCCUAAGCCGAGGCCGAGAGGCGUAGGUGAUGGGAAGCAGGUUAAUAUUCCUGCACCACCAAGGAUGGCGUUGACGUAAGCGGGG
rnacentral:rRNA from 1 species